GGAGCACGCCGCGUGAGUGAUGAAGGUUUUCGGAUCGUAAAGCUCUGUUGUUAGGGAAGAACAAGUGCCGUUCAAAUAGGGCGGCACCUUGACGGUACCUAACCAGAAAGCCACGGCUAACUACGUGCCAGCAGCCGCGGUAAUACGUAGGUGGCAAGCGUUGUCCGGAAUUAUUGGGCGUAAAGGGCUCGCAGGCGGUUUCUUAAGUCUGAUGUGAAAGCCCCCGGCUCAACCGGGGAGGGUCAUUGGAAACUGGGGAACUUGAGUGCAGAAGAGGAGAGUGGAAUUCCACGUGUAGCGGUGAAAUGCGUAGAGAUGUGGAGGAACACCAGUGGCGAAGGCGACUCUCUGGUCUGUAACUGACGCUGAGGAGCGAAAGCGUGGGGAGCGAACAGGAUUAGAUACCCUGGUAGUCCACGCCGUAAACGAUGAGUGCUAAGUGUUAGGGGGUUUCCGCCCCUUAGUGCUGCAGC
rnacentral:rRNA from 1 species